rnacentral:rRNA from 1 species
GACGGGACCGCACAAGCGGUGGAUGAUGUGGAUUAAUUCGAUGCAACGCGAAACCUUACCUACCUUGACAUGUCCGGAAUCCCGAAGAGAUUUGGGAGUGCUCGCAAGAGGACCGGAACACAGGUGCUGCAUGGCUGUCGUCAGCUCGUGUCGUGAGAUGUGGGUUAAGUCCCGCAACGAGCGCAACCCUUGUCAUUAGUUGCCAUCAUUUGGUUGGGCACUCUAAUGAGACUGCCGGUGACAAACCGGGAGGGAAGGUGGGGAUGACGUCAAGUCCUCAUGGCCCUUAUGGGUAGGGCUUCACACGUCAUACAAUGGUCGGUACAGAGGGUUGCCAACCCGCGAGGGGGAGCUAAUCCCACAAAGCCGAUCGUAGUCCGGAUCGCAGUCCGCAACUCGACUGCGUGAAGUCGGAAUCGCUAGUAAUCGUGGAUCAGCAUGUCACGGUGAAUACGUUCCCGGGUCUU